rnacentral:rRNA from 1 species
UGGGUAACCUGCCUCAAGGAGGGGAAUAGCCUCCCGAAAGGGAGAUUAAUACCGCAUAAUAUGUUUAGGUCGCAUGACUUUAACAUCAAAGGAUUUUCUUUUAGAAAUUCCACUUUGAGAUGGACCCGCGGCGCAUUAGCUAGUUGGUGAGGUAAAAGCUCACCAAGGCUAUGACGGUUAACCGGCCUGAGAGGGUGUACGGUCACAUAGGCACUGAGACACGGGCCUGACUCCUACGGGAGGNAGCG